GGUUCACAGGCAGACGUGUCAAGUACCAGGCACUUGGGGUCACAGCUCCACUCCAGUGUGGCCCUGAGGGCCUAGACUGAGCUCUUGGAGAGCCCAAGGCCGCCUGGCAGACCAGAGGGUUGGGGAGACAAGGGUCAGGCACCACGUGAAUAGCCAGGGUGACUGCUGUGGGUUCCAGGUGGCGUACACCUUUGACGCGGGCCCCAAUGCCGUGAUCUUCACCCUGGACGACACUGUGGCUGAGUUUGUGGCUGCUGUGUGGCACGGCUUUCCCCCAGGCUCGAAUGGAGACACGUUUCUGAAGGGGCUGCAGGUGAGGCCGGCCCCUCUCUCAGCUGAGCUUCAGGCUGCGCUGGCCAUGGAGCCGACCCCCGGUGGGGUCAAAUACAUCAUUGUCACUCAGGUGGGGCCAGGGCCUCAAAUCCUGGAUGACCCCUGCGCCCACCUCCUGGGUCCUGACGGCCUGCCGAAGCCAGCUGCCUGACUGCCUCAGCAGGGA
rnacentral:lncRNA from 1 species